AUUAGGAAUCUUGCGCAAUGGGGGAAACCCUGACGCAGCGACACCGCGUGCAGGACGAAGGCUUUCGAGUCGUAAACUGCUUUUAUAAGUGAAGAAUAUGACGGUAGCUUAUGAAUAAGCUUCGGCUAACUCCGUGCCAGCAGCCGCGGUCAGACGGAGGAAGCAAGCGUUGUCCGGAAUUAUUGGGCGUAAAGAGCUCGUAGGCGGCUCAUCAAGUCGGCUGUGAAAUCCCGAGGCUCAACCUCGGAACUGCAGUCGAUACUGUUGUGGCUAGAGUCUGGUAGAGGAGAAUGGAAUUCCCGGUGUAGCGGUGAAAUGCGCAGAUAUCGGGAGGAACACCAGUAGCGAAGGCGGUUCUCUGGGCCAGUACUGACGCUGAGGAGCGAAAGCGUGGGGAGCAAACAGGAUUAGAUACCCGAGUAGUCC
rnacentral:rRNA from 1 species